UGCGUUUACACCGAGCGAGUCGCGUCGAGUCGAGUCGCAUCAAGUCAUUUGAAGCGAUUCAUUUCGACGUAUCUCCGUUUACACCGAAUGCGUCAACCCGAGUCAAGUCACUACACAGUGACCCAUUUGAUUUCAGGGAGAAUGGACGCAUAUUCUCUUGCUGUAGUAACUGCAUUGCUCUGGCUUCGUCGUCGCAGACGUAAAAAUAAAACUCGAAUCUGGAUGCAUCAUCUGAACACCAGGAGGCCAGAUUUCGGUAGCUUCAGUCAUUUAUUCCCAGACCUGGUAAACCAUCCAGAAAAAUUUUACAACUUUUUUAGGAUGACAAAUGAAAACUUUAAGAAGCUGGUGGAGUUGGUUGGACCUUCCAUUAGGAAAAUCAACACUAACUACAGGCGUGCAAUAGGAACGGAAGAAAGAAUGGCCAUUUUUUUAAGGCAUGUGGUUACUGGAGAAUCUUUGACUUCCCUUGGUUACCAGUUUCGUGUCGGCAAGGCCACAGUACACAAGAUUGUCAAGAAAACCAGCAAAGCCAUAUGGGAAACACUACAACCACAGUAUUUGCCUGUACCUGAUGAACACCAGUGGGAAGAAAUAGCCAGAACGUUUUUUGAACAAUGGAAUAUUCCUAACUGUAUUGGAAUAUUCCUAACUGUAUUGGAGCCUGCACCAGCAUACAAAAGCAGCCAUGGCCCGUGUUAGCGUCAUGUUCAACGAAGAUCCAGGCAGCUAGACACAAGCGUUCUUCAGACACCGUCCCUCCCUGUCUGACUUAUGUUUACCCUCCUUUGCCACCGCGCAGCCGCGCACGAUACUCAUCCACCAAUCCACAAAAUUGUGUUUCUGCCUCCAAUAAUAUGCA